GAUGAACGCUGGCGGCGUGCCUAAUACAUGCAAGUCGAGCGAACAGACGAGGAGCUUGCUCCUCUGACGUUAGCGGCGGACGGGUGAGUAACACGUGGAUAACCUACCUAUAAGACUGGGAUAACUUCGGGAAACCGGAGCUAAUACCGGAUAAUAUAUUGAACCGCAUGGUUCAAUAGUGAAAGACGGUUUUGCUGUCACUUAUAGAUGGAUCCGCGCCGCAUUAGCUAGUUGGUAAGGUAACGGCUUACCAAGGCAACGAUGCGUAGCCGACCUGAGAGGGUGAUCGGCCACACUGGAACUGAGACACGGUCCAGACUCCUACGGGAGGCAGCAGUAGGGAAUCUUCCGCAAUGGGCGAAAGCCUGACGGAGCAACGCCGCGUGGGUGAUGAAGGUCUUCGGAUCGUAAAACUCUGUUAUUUGGGAAGAACAAAUGUGUAAGUAACUAUGCACGUCUUGACGGUACCUAAUCAGAAAGCCACGGCUAACUACGUG
rnacentral:rRNA from 1 species